GCCCGGGUGGCGAAAUGGCAGACGCAACAGACUUAAAAUCUGUCGGGAAACCAUGCGGGUUCGAGUCCCGCCCCGGGCA
rnacentral:tRNA from 1 species